AAAAAAUUAGUUAAACAAAAUAACAUUAGUAUGUCAAACUAAAAUUAUCUUUUUAAAAGAUAUUUUUUA
rnacentral:tRNA from 1 species